AUUGAACGCUGGCGGCAGGCCUCACACAUGCAAGUCGAACGAGUGGCGGACGGGUGAGUAAUGUCUGGGAAACUGCCUGAUGGAGGGGGAUCACUACUGGAAACGGUAGCUAAUACCGCAUAACAUCAGAUGUGCCCAGAUGGGAUUAGCUAGUUGGUGGGGUAACGGCUCAACAAGGCGAAGAUCCCUAGCUGGUCUGAGAGGAUGACAAGCGACACUGGAACUGAGACACGGUCCAGACACUUAUGUUAGGCAGCAUUUGGGAAUAGUGCACAAUGGACGCAACGCUGAUACAGCCAUGCCGCGUGUAUUGAGAAGGCCUUCGGGUUGUAAAGUACUGUCAGCGGGGAGGCGUUACUCGCAGAAGAAGCACCGGCUAACUCCGUGCCAGCAGCCGCGGUAAUAC
rnacentral:rRNA from 1 species